AGUGAGUGAGGUAGGCAGGUAGGUGAGUGAGGUAGGCGAGUGAGUGAGUGGUGUUUUUGUCUUCGAUGCUACAAACAGUUUGGUUCGCUAGCCUAUAGGCCUACGUGGUGGUCAGAAAUGGUUUGCACCUAAUAUUUAUUAUUUCAUUAAUCAUGGAAUGUACUUGAAUGCUUGUAGCACUGCUUGAAGAUACCACAUGAUGUAUAUACAUGUAUUAAACUGUACCAUUUUAUUUUAAGGGAAUGUGAUUUAAUAAAUACAUAUUUAUGGAGUUUGA